CACGUAGGGUGCGAGCGUUGUCCGGAAUUAUUGGGCGUAAAGAGCUCGUAGGCGGCUUGUCGCGUCAACUGUGAAAACCCGUGGCUCAACCAUGUGGUCUGCAGUCGAUACGGGCAGGCUAGAAUUCGGUAGGGGAGACUGGAAUUCCUGGUGUAGCGGUGAAAUGCGCAGAUAUCAGGAGGAACACCGGUGGCGAAGGCGGGUCUCUGGGCAUUAACUGACGCUGAGGAGCGAAAGCAUGGGGAGCGAACAGG
rnacentral:rRNA from 1 species